CACGUAGGGCGCAAGCGUUGUCCGGAAUUAUUGGGCGUAAAGGGCUCGUAGGCGGUUUGUCGCGUCGGGCGUGAAAUCCACUGGCUUAACUGGUGGCUUGCUUUCGAUACGGGCAGACUGGAGGUAUGCAGGGGAGAACGGAAUUCCUGGUGUAGCGGUGAAAUGCGCAGAUAUCAGGAGGAACACCGGUGGCGAAGGCGGUUCUCUGGGCAUGUCCUGACGCUGAGGAGCGAAAGUGUGGGGAGCGAACAGG
rnacentral:rRNA from 1 species